GCGCACCAGGCGCGAAACCUUCGCAAUGCGCGAAAGCGCGACGAGGCUACUCUGAGUGCCAUCCGCUGAGGAUGGCUUUUCUCGGGUCUACAAAGCCCGGGGAAUAAGGGGAGGGCAAGUCUGGUGUCAGCCGCCGCGGUAAGACCAGCUCCUCGAGUGGUUGGGGCGUUUAUUGGGCCUAAAGCAUCCGUAGCCGGCUCCAUAAGUCCCCCGUUAAAUCCAACGGCUCAACCGUUGGGCUGCGGAGGAUACUGUGGGGCGAGGGGGCGGGAGAGGCGGACGGGAUUCCCUGGGUAGGGGCAAAAUCCGCUGAGCCAGGGAGGACCACCAGUGGCGAAGGCGGUCCGACAGAACGCGCCCGACGGUGAGGGAUGAAAGCUGGGGGAGCGAACCGGAUUAGAUACCCCGGUAGUCC
rnacentral:rRNA from 1 species